CCGGAAAGUCACCCAGUGGCCCCCGGUUGCUGUAGUGAGCCUGCGCCAGUCUGUAGAGAUGAAUUGCAACCAGAGUGCUUCUAAUAUCUACAUGUACUGGUAUCGACAGCAAAACUCCAGUGAGCUUCAACUGGUCUUUUCCUCUCCAUACGGCAGCGAUCCAGAAAAGGGUGAAAACAUCCCUGAUAGAUUUACUAUCUCCAGGACACAGAUGGAGAGAAUCACUCUAAAUAUAAAGAAUGCUGAGGCUGCAGACACUGGAGUGUAUUACUGUGCAGCUAGUGCCACAGUACACAAACCUAUCAGCCUUCCUGUCUGAAAACUCUACAAGGGGGCAGACAAGAGACAGAAACACACCAUGCAGCAACACACAAUAAUAUUCAAUACUGUGACUGUUUAGAAAAUGCUUCCCUCAUUUAACUUUGGUGUUCACUUGAUAACAUUGUAGGCCUUCCAGUUGUUCUACAUACCAUAUUGUUAGUUUUUAACUGCACACAAAAUCUUUCUCCUCCCUUGAAGUGUUGCCACUAACCGACUCAAAAUGGGCAUACCCCCUGUGAAGAAAAUGGCAGUGACGCCUUUAAGGAAUGGCGUCGAUGGAAAGGAAACUACACGUCCCAGAAGGCUCAGUGUCAAUUGGUAGGGCGGGGUUACACAGUUUAAAAGGAAGCAGAGCAGAACAAUCGGGGUGUUGUGUGAUUGUGGGGAACACUGCUCGAUUGUCCUGCCUGCGCAAGCUUUGGGGAAUCUAUCCUAUCUUCCUGUGUCUGUGGGAAAGCUAUAACGCAGCGUCUCAGUCAACCCUGAAAGUCACCCAGUGGCCCCCGGUUGCUGUAGUGAGCCUGCGCCAGUCUGUAGAGAUGAAUUGCAACCAGAGUGCUUCUAAUAUCUACAUGUACUGGUAUCGACAGCAAAACUCCAGUGAGCUUCAACUGGUCUUUUCCUCUCCAUACGGCAGCGAUCCAGAAAAGGGUGAAAACAUCCCUGAUAGAUUUACUAUCUCCAGGACACAGAUGGAGAGAAUCACUCUAAAUAUAAAGAAUGCUGAGGCUGCAGACACUGGAGUGUAUUACUGUGCAGCUAGUGCCACAGUACACAAACCUAUCAGCCUUCCUGUCUGAAAACUCUACAAGGGGGCAGACAAGAGACAGAAACACACCAUGCAGCAACACACAAUAAUAUUCAAUACUGUGACUGUUUAGAAAAUGCUUCCCUCAUUUAACUUUGGUGUUCACUUGAUAACAUUGUAGGCCUUCCAGUUGUUCUACAUACCAUAUUGUUAGUUUUUAACUGCACACAAAAUCUUUCUCCUCCCUUGAAGUGUUGCCACUAACCGACUCAAAAUGGGCAUACCCCCUGUGAAGAAAAUGGCAGUGACGCCUUUAAGGAAUGGCGUCGAUGGAAAGGAAACUACACGUCCCAGAAGGCUCAGUGUCAAUUGGUAGGGCGGGGUUACACAGUU